UACGUAGGGGGCAAGCGUUGUCCGGAUUUAUUGGGCGUAAAGAGCUCGUAGGCGGCUCGGUAAGUCGGAUGUGAAACCUCCAGGCUCAACCUGGAGACGCCAUCUGAUACUGCCGUGGCUAGAGUCCGGAAGAGGAGAGUGGAAUUCCUGGUGUAGCGGUGAAAUGCGCAGAUAUCAGGAAGAACACCCGUGGCGAAGGCGGCUCUCUGGGACGGUACUGACGCUGAGACGCGAAAGCGUGGGGAGCGAACAGG
rnacentral:rRNA from 1 species